UGGGGAAUAUUGGACAAUGGGCGCAAGCCUGAUCCAGCAACGCCGCGUGUGUGAAGAAGGCCUUCGGGUUGUAAAGCACUUUCGUCGGGGAGGAAGGGUUUAUAGCGAAUACCUAUAAACUUUGACGUUACCCGAAUAAGAAGCACUGGCUAACUCUGUGCCAGCAGCCGCGGUAAUACAGAGGGUGCGAGCGUUAAUCGGAAUUACUGGGCGUAAAGGGUGCGUAGGUUGCCUACCAAGUCAGAUGUGAAAGCCCUGGGCUUAACCCAGGAAUUGCAUUUGAUACUAGUAGGCUCGAGUGCAGUAGAGAGAGGCGGAAUUUCCGGUGUAGCGGUGAAAUGCGUAGAUAUCGGAAGGAACACCAGUGGCGAAAGCGGCCUCUUGGACUGUAACUGACACUGAGGCACGAAAGCGUGGGGAGCAAACAGG
rnacentral:rRNA from 1 species